rnacentral:tRNA from 1 species
CUACCCGUAGCUCAGCUGGAUAGAGCGUAAGACUCCGACUCUUAAGGCCGUGGGUUCGACUCCCGCCGGGUAGACCA